rnacentral:rRNA from 1 species
GAUGAACGCUGGCGGCGUGCCUAACACAUGCAAGUCGAGCGGCAGCGAGGGGUGCUUGCACCCUGUCGGCGAGCGGCGAACGGCUGAGUAACGCGUGGGAACGUGCCCUAAAGUGAGGGAUAACGCACCGAAAGGUGUGCUAAUACCGCAUAUGAUCUUCGGAUUAAAGCUUUAUGCGCUUUGGGAGCGGCCCGCGUCGGAUUAGGUUGUUGGUAGGGUAAUGGCCUACCAAGCCGACGAUCCGUAGCUGGUCUGAGAGGAUGACCAGCCAGACUGGAACUGAGACACGGUCCAGACUCCUACGGGAGGCAGCAGUGAGGAAUCUUCCACAAUGGGGGCAACCCUGAUGGAGCAACGCCGCGUGCAGGAUGAAGGCCUUCGGGUUGUAAACUGCUUUUAUAAGUGAGGAAUAUGACGGUAACUUAUGAAUAAGGAUCGGCUAACUACGUGCCAGCAGCCGCGGUCAUACGUAGGAUCCGAGCGUUAUCCGGAGUGACUGGGCGUAAGAGUUGCGUAGGUGGUUAGUAAAGCGAAUAGUGAAAUCUGGCGGCUCAACCGUACAGGCUAUUAUUCGAACUCACUAACUCGAGAGUGGUAGAGGUUACUGGAAUUUCUAGUGUAGGAGUGAAAUCCGUAGAUAUUAGAAGGAACACCAAUGGCGUAGGCAGGUAACUGGACCAUUUCUGACACUAAGGCACGAAAGCGUGGGGAGCGAACCGGAUUAGAUACCCGGGUAGUCCACGCCGUAAACGAUGGAUACUAGCUGUUGGAGGUAUCGACCCCUUCAGUAGCGAAGCUAACGCGUUAAGUAUCCCGCCUGUGGAGUACGGCCGCAAGGCUAAAACAUAAAGGAAUUGACGGGGACCCGCACAAGCGGUGGAUCGUGUUCUUUAAUUCGAUGCUAAACGAAGAACCUUACCAGGGCUUGACAUCCAGGGAAUUUUUGGGAAACCAAUUAGUGCCUUUUGGAACCCUGUGACAGGUGAUGCAUGGCCGUCGUCAGCUCGUGUCGUGAGAUGUUUGGUUAAGUCCAUCAACGAGCGCAACCCUUGUGAAUAGUUGGAUUUUUCUAUUCAGACUGCCCCGGUAACGGGGAGGAAGGAGGGGAUGAUGUCAGGUCAGUAUUUCCCUUACGUCCUGGGCUAGAAACACGAUACAAUGGCUAGUACAAUGCGCAGCGAAGCCGCGAGGUGGAGCAAAUCGCAUCAAAGCUAGUCCCAGUUCGGAUUGGAGGCUGAAACUCGCCUCCAUGAAGUCGGAAUCGCUAGUAAUCGCAAAUCAGCAAGUUGCGGUGAAUACGUUCCCGGGUCU